rnacentral:rRNA from 1 species
GGAGAGGCGGGACGACGUCAAAUCAUCAUGCCCCUUAUGUUCUGGGCUACACACGUAAUACAAUGGCGGUCAACAGAGGGAAGCGAAGGAGCGAUCUGGAGCAAAUCCCCAAAAGCCGUCUCAGUUCGGAUUGCAGGCUGAAACUCGCCUGCAUGAAGUCGGAAUUGCUAGUAAUCGCGGAUCAGCACGCCGCGGUGAAUACGUUCCCGGGCCUU